CCUUUAAGGGUCCUGAAGGAACGUUGAAGACGACGACGUUGAUAGGCCGGGUGUGUAAGCGCAGCGAUGCGUUGAGCUAACCGGUACUAAUGAACCGUGAGGCUUAACCUU
rnacentral:rRNA from 5 species